UAAGUGGGAUCACAUUUCAAAAACCUACGGUUCUGGAUUUUUAUUAACUCGCUUUAUCAGUUCAGUUGUCUCACCGGUUAGCCUCCUCUCUCUCCUCUCUUUUUAUAGGCUCUUCAGUUUCUGACUUGCUAUUAUCAUUAUUUUUGGCCUUCUGCAAAUACAUUGGAGAAAUUGUUACUAAUGUUUGUUUCCCUUUUAACAUUGUCCCCUUCCUGCAGUUUGCUUCAUUUGAGAAGGCUAA
rnacentral:misc_RNA from 1 species